rnacentral:tRNA from 1 species
UAAAGUUUAGUUUAUUUAAAAAUGUUAAGUUGUUGACUUGAAGAUUUUUAACUUUAG